rnacentral:tRNA from 1 species
AAGAAUAAAUAUAAGAAAGCCGCUAACUAUCUUUUAAGGUGUUAAAAUCACUUUAUUCUUA